AUUGAAUUUAUUUUGUUUGUUCCUGGAUCACUUCGUUCCUUGUUCCUGUAUUCCUGAAAUCCUUGUUCCAGUGUUGUUGCUCCAGCAUUCCUUGCCCUCCUGUUUUCCUGACAGCAUCACAAUCGGCAUCAAGUACAAGGCUACUCUGGUGAAAACAUUCUCCAUAAAUGGCCCGAAGGCGCAGUUUGGAGUGCGGACCAAGGAGGAAGCAACUAGGCAAACUCAG